rnacentral:rRNA from 1 species
UCCACGCCGUAAACGAUGAGAACUAGACGUUGGGUCCAUUUAAGGAUUUAGUGUCGUAGCUAACGCGUGAAGUUCUCCGCCUGGGGAGUACGGCCGCAAGGUUAAAACUCAAAGGAAUUGACGGGGGCCCGCACAAGCGGUGGAGCAUGUGGUUUAAUUCGAUGCAACGCGAAGAACCUUACCUACCCUUGACAUCCUCAGAACUUGUUAGAGAUAACUUGGUGCCCUUUCGG